rnacentral:rRNA from 1 species
UACCACCCUUUAAUGUUUGAUGUUCUAACGUGGACCCGUAAUCCGGGUUGCGGACAGUGUCUGGUGGGUAGUUUGACUGGGGCGGUCUCCUCCUAAAGAGUAACGGAGGAGCACGAAGGUUGGCUAAUCCUGGUCGGACAUCAGGAGGUUAGUGCAAUGGCAUAAGCCAGCUUGACUGCGAGCGUGACGGCGCGAGCAGGUGCGAAAGCAGGUCAUAGUGAUCCGGUGGUUCUGAAUGGAAGGGCCAUCGCUCAACGGAUAAAAGGUACUCCGGGGAUAACAGGCUGAUACCGCCCAAGAGUUCAUAUCGACGGCGGUGUUUGGCACCUCGAUGUCGGCUCAUCACAUCCUGGGGCUGAAGUAGGUCCCAAGGGUAUGGCUGUUCGCCAUUUAAAGUGGUACGCGAGCUGGGUUUAGAACGUCGUGAGACAGUUCGGUCCCUAUCUGCCGUGGGCGCUGGAGAACUGAGGGGGGCUGCUCCUAGUACGAGAGGACCGGAGUGGACGCAUCACUGGUGUUCGGGUUGUCAUGCCAAUGGCACUGCCCGGUAGCUAAAUGCGGAAGAGAUAAGUGCUGAAAGCAUCUAAGCACGAAACUUGCCCCGAGAUGAGUUCUCCCUGAGACUUAGAGUCUCCUGAAGGAACGUUGAAGACGACGACGUUGAUAGGCCGGGUGUGUAAGCGCAGCGAUGCGUUGAGCUAACCGGUACUAAUGAACCGUGAGGCUUAACCUUAC